AUUGAACGCUGGCGGCAUGCCUAACACAUGCAAGUCGCACGCGAAAGGGGCAACCCCGAGUAGAGUGGCGGACGGGUGAGUAACGCGUAGGAAUCUACCUGGUAGUGGGGGACAACCCGGCGAAAGCCGGGCUAAUACCGCAUACGAUCCACGGAUGAAAGCAGGGGACCGCAAGGCCUUGCGCUAUCAGAUGAGCCUGCGUCGGAUUAGCUAGUUGGUGAGGUAAUGGCUCACCAAGGCGACGAUCCGUAGCUGGUUUGAGAGAACGACCAGCCACACUGGGGACUGAGACACGGCCCAGACUCCUACGGGAGGCAGCGGUGGGGAAUAUUGGACAAUGGUGGCAACCCUGAUCCAGCAAUGCCGCGUGUGUGAAGAAGGCCUCGGGUUGUAAAGCACUUUUCGGUGGGGACAAACAAGACGGAGCUAACAUCUCCGUUCCUGAUGGUACCCAAAGAAGAGCACCGGCUAACUCUGUGCCAGCAGCCGCGGUAAU
rnacentral:rRNA from 1 species